GCCGGUGUGAAGUAAAACCUCAACACUCCAAGACCUCCGAGUGCCGCUUGGUUCUUCAGUCACUGACCCAGUCCAGAUUUUCCAGUAUUUUCCAUAACAUUUGGUUCCCUAACUGGGAAACCCAACCGCGCUGGCCCAUUGUUGCCACCAGUUUGGGACAACGACAGGGCGGUGAUGGAACCGGAGAUCACAACGGAGAAGGCGCGCCCUGCUUGAUCUUUCAGCAGUCUCCCGCCUGGUCGCCCCAGGUUGGCCCCGCUCCACUGUUCCUGCCAGAUCAAGGAGGCUUGGCAGGUUGCUCCUGCUGGGGGAAGCCAACUGUCGUGUCACGAUUAACACUUAAGCAGCUUGUCACGAGGAACUGCAGCUUCCUUCCAACAGCUGACACCAGCAUCAUGUGACUGAAACAUCCUGAGAUCAUUUUGGAAGGUCACCUGCAAGUUAACUUUUCUUUCCAGCUCACUGCCAACUGGAAACCAUCACUAAGCAGAAACUAGCACCACUACAGGCACGUGCACUGAAACAAGGAGAGUGAGAAACCCGACCACAUUCAAUCAACAGAG